GACGAACGCUGGCGGCGUGCUUAACACAUGCAAGUCGUACGGUAAGGCCCUUUCGGGGGUACACGAGUGGCGAACGGGUGAGUAACACGUGAGUAACCUGCCCACAACUUUGGGAUAACGCUAGGAAACUGGUGCUAAUACUGGAUAUGUGCUCCUGCUGCAUGGUGGGGGUUGGAAAGCUCCGGCGGUUGUGGAUGGACUCGCGGCCUAUCAGCUUGUUGGUGGGGUAGUGGCCUACCAAGGCGGCGACGGGUAGCCGGCCUGAGAGGGUGACCGGCCACAUUGGGACUGAGAUACGGCCCAGACUCCUACGGGAGGCAGCAGUGGGGAAUAUUGCACAAUGGGCGCAAGCCUGAUGCAGCAACGCCGCGUGCAGGAUGACGGCCUUCGGGUUGUAAACCGCUUUCAGCAGGGACGAAGCUUUUUGUGACGGUACCUGCAGAAGAAGCACCGGCUAACUACGUG
rnacentral:rRNA from 1 species